ensembl:lncRNA
UGCACAAGAAAAAGUGUGGUACCAGACAGGGGGAAACAGACCAGGGCAGACGGUGAACAGAAAGGGGGGAGUGUGGUGAAGGUAUUUGUACCAGACAGGGGGAGACAGACCAGGGCAGAUGGUGAACAGAGAGGGGAGUGUGGUGGAGGUAUUUAUACCAGACAGGGGGAGACAGACCAGGGCAGACGGUGAACAGAGAGGGGGAGUUGUGGUGGAGGUAUUUAUACCAGACAGGGGGAGACAGACCAGGGCAGACGGUGAACAGAAAGGGGGGAGUGUGGUGGAGGUAUUUAUACCAGACAGGGGGAGACAGACCAGGGCAGACGGUGAACAGAUUGCCAGGUGGA